rnacentral:rRNA from 1 species
ACGGAGGGUGCAAGCGUUAAUCGGAAUAACUGGGCGUAAAGGGCAUGCAGGCGGUUAAACAAGUAGGGUGUGAAAGCCCGGGGCUCAACCUCGGAAUUGCAUUCUAAACUGUGUAACUAGAGUAUUGCAGGGGGAGACGGAAUUCCAGGUGUAGCGGUGGAAUGCGUAGAGAUCUGGAAGAACACCAAAGGCGAAGGCAGUCUCCUGGGCAAAUACUGACGCUCAUAUGCGAAAGCGUGGGUAGCAAACAG